AUAUUGUUCUUUAAUAUGUGUGCCUCUCUUCAUCUAUUAGGCUAUUAGAAUGACUUUUUCCAGGUAUUUAUUUUUUUAACCAAAAGACUGUAUUUACUAACUCACAGUGAAGCUAACAUAGCUAUUCUUGGGAAAGUCCCGCUAGUUGCUUUACACAGCCAUAAAAUAAGGCGCCAUUAUUCACUGGGCAGAGGCCUCUAGAACUGGAACAUUGAAAUCAGGAGGAACUGCCCAACCCAGCAUUUAUCAGCGUAUUCAUACACCUCCUCAGUAGUAAAGACCAUACAUGCAUGUCCAUCCCAGAGAAAAUCCCUCAUGUCACCCUGAAUUAGUGCUGUCCCCUUGGGUACACAGGAGAUGCUGAGUCACACCUCAGCUCAAAGCUUUACUGUCAUCUUUCCACCUCAAAACACAGAGAAUUUAUGUAUUAAGUUCAACAGCUUAAACUUUUCUUUGUGGCCUACUGCAUACUCCUAGCCCCUGGUGCAGUGUGCACCAUGGAUUUAAAAAAAAAAAAUUUUUUAUUACACUUGAUUUGGGGUUUAAUAGUUAAGGUGCUUUCUUUAUGCUCUACCAAGGAAACAGGAAAUCAUACAUAACUCUGGUUGUACUGGCAUUAAAGAAAAAGCAUCUCAGCCUAUUUUCACUUACCAAGUUCAGGUAGGAAAAGACAGUCUUAGCCAUAAAUUCCAAACAGGAAUCCAGAAGUAAAAGUGGAAUCAGAGGAGCAGCAGAGAAAUAUAGCGAAUAGAAAUCUAAAUGUCAAAUAUAUAUUUACAAAAAUGUUCAUUGCAGUAUUUUUUGUGAUCGUAAGAAACUGGAAACAGCUUUAAUAUCUGUCAGUAAGGUGAUGGUUAAGUAAAUUAUAUAGACACUCUAAUGUGGUGUAUGGUAGAUAGGGAAAUUAUAUAAGAUAGAGGAAUGUUGUAGAUAGGGACAAUCCCUAAUAUAUAUUGUUAAAUGUAAAAACAAAUCACAAAGCAAUAAAUAUUAUAUAAUCACAUUUAUUUUGUAAUCAACAUUAAAUGUAUAGAGAAAUAUUAUACAUAUAUCCUUAAAUGCAUUUUUUAUGUGGUCUGAUAGAAUAUUCCUAUUAGUGGUUACUUCUGAGGUAGGAAGUGAGUCGGGGAGAAAAGGGGAAAAGGAAGACCUAGAUUUUUUACUCCACUGAUUUAAGCUUUUUGAAAGUUUUAGAUGUUUUUAUACUGAACAUAUAUUACUUACAUAUCACUUGUUUAUAUGAAAAAUAAAAUAAGGUGAAAGAAAAUAGCUAAAUUGGUUCAUCCUAAAUUUUUUCUUUUCACCUCAUCCCAUUUUCUCUCUUUCUUUCUCCUAUGGGCUUUUAUAGCUAGCUCUUCAUUUCUGUAAUAUUGAUGGAAUCACGUUGCUAUGCUUUUUAGGCUAGCAGAAGAUUAAUGGGUUGAUAUACCAGGUCAGUUAUAUUAAUUUUCUAGGGCUGCCAUAACCAAAUACCACUGAUUGGGUGAUUCAAAGAACAAAUUAAUUGGUGUUUCCACCAUAGCGCAAUGGAUUAAGAAUCCAACUGCAGCAGCUUAGGUCGAUGUGAGGUGCGGGUUCCAUCCCCAGCCUGGUGCAGUGGGUUAAAGGAUCUUGUGUUGCCACGGCUAUGGCAUAGGUUGCAGCUGCCACUGAGAUUCAUUCCCUCCCUGGCCUGGGAACUUCCAAAUGUUGCAGUUGUGGCCAUAAAAUUUUAAAAUACAAAACAAACAAACAAAAAACCCAUAUUUAUUUUCUUACAGUUCUGGAGCCAGAAGUCCAAGGUCAAGCCGACAGUAGGUUUGGUUUUUUGUGAGGCCUCUCUCUUUGGCUUGCAGAGAAGUCAUCUUCUCGCCUUGUCCUUACAUGGUAUUUUCUUAUGUGCAUGCCAUUCAAUUUGUGUGUCCCAAUUUCCUCUUCUUAUAAAGACAUGUGUCACAUUGGGCACCCUAACAGCCUCAGUUUAACUUAAUCAUGUCUUUGAAGGACCUCUUUCCAAAUACAGUCGAAUUCUAUAGGUUUGGGGGUUAGAGCUUCAACAUACACAUUGAGGAGAACAAAAGUCAGUCAUAUCAGUGGGUCUGGAGCUCAAAAUUUUCUUUACAUAUUCUCACCUGCCCACCAGAAGAGAUCAUAAAGACUUUGAGUCAUUUAAAUGCAGGUCUGUGUUCUCAAAUGGUCACCUUCAGGCCACUCCUGAGGAAUGGCAUGCACAGAAAGUCAGCACUUUGAGACCCCUCUCAUUCACAUUGCUUUGCCUCAAGGGAAGUGGUGGAGCACAUCGUGAUGAAGGGAGGAUGGGCUGAGUGAGACCACUGGCUCUGCCACUUACCAACACUUCUCUAGACUCUAGUUUUCCAUCUGAAAUAGGAGGAUAGUAAUACCUGCCUCUGGGUCAGGGCCAGACCUAUGUUUUUGGUCCCAGAGCAAAAUGAAAUGUAGGGCUGUUGCUCAAGUGGGGAUGUCAGUCUCCCCAACCCACUGGCAAAUGAGCAACCCCUAGGGAUUGUAAGCUCCGUGCUGGAAUCUGGAUCAGGGCUAGUUGAGAGGCCUCCAACCAGUCAUUUUAAUUAUUAGCUACUUCCUUGCUGCACUGAGAUGCCCCAGGGAGUACAUGCCUAACCUUGACCCUCCCUAUGGUCAUGGCCAGGUCUCCAGCAGUGACAGAGGGCAGUGUUGAAACACAGCCUCCCCUCAUCGAUACAACCUUGAUGCCACCCCAGGAGAAAGGUGGCUUAUUUCCUAUGUACCGAGAAAGGGAAGAGGGAAGGCCAGGUACUGUGUGCAGCUCCAGAUAAUGGGGAAUUGGGGACUGAGAACCUGUCCAAAGAGUUAUGAAGGUGGUGAGACAUGGGACAGCAUGUGAGUCCAGGCUUCAAGUCCUUAGCACAUGCUCAAUGUUCUAUCAGACUUCACCUACAAACCACAAAUAAGCCACUUUUGAAAUUUUAGUCAAACUUCAUUCAUUAUCCUCAUGUGCCAGGAGAUGGAUUCUCAUGAAUUAUUUUUCCUAGAAUUUACCUCCUGCCAAAAGAGUAUAAACUACAACUUGUGGUAUUCUCUAAAAUAUAUAUUGGUUAUCAGGAACACUUUUUGUAGAGUUGUUUUAGAAGGUUUUGUUUAGGUAAGAGUUAGUCAUUUGUAAAUGUCCUCUAACUAAUUUAUCAUAGACCAGCUUAUUCUAUUUUAGACACAAACUUUAAAGAAGUAGGAUUUCUAAUAAGCCAGAAACAUUCCUUGUACUUUGAGAGUUCUUUGGCUUAUAUUAGCUUGUGGUCUCUGCUCCCAUGAAGUUCUGGCAACCCUCAC
rnacentral:lncRNA from 1 species